rnacentral:misc_RNA from 1 species
UGGCUACCGACAGCCACCAUUCCACAUCACGAGCGACCCUUUUGAGUGCCAACCAUCCCUCCACCACAUAUGCGCAUGUUGCAGGUUACAGCUGGAGCCCCUCCAAAUUCCCUCAUGUCCGCCACCGCAACCGCCACAGCAACAUCGUCCGCUCCACAAGAGCAGCCGAUUCUAAUCCCUUCCCUCCCAAAUGAUAUCGCUUUAAAUAUCCUAGCU